AAUGGGGGAAACCCUGAUGCAGCGAUGCCGCGUGUAGGAAGACGGUCCUCUGGAUUGUAAACUACUGUCUUCAGGGACGAUAAUGACGGUACCUGAGGAGGAAGCUCCGGCUAACUACGUGCCAGCAGCCGCGGUAAUACGUAGGGAGCGAGCGUUGUCCGGAAUUACUGGGUGUAAAGGGAGCGUAGGCGGGGUCUUAAGUCCGUUGUGAAAUCUAUCAGCUCAACCGGUAGCUGCGGCGGAAACUGGGACUCUUGAGUGAAGUAGAGGCAGGCGGAAUUCCUAGUGUAGCGGUGAAAUGCGUAGAUAUUAGGAGGAACACCAGUGGCGAAGGCGGCCUGCUGGGCUUUUACUGACGCUGAGGCUCGAAAGUGUGGGGAGCAAA
rnacentral:rRNA from 1 species